AGAGUUUGAUCCUGGCUCAGGAUGAACGCUAGCGACAGGCUUAACACAUGCAAGUCGAGGGGCAGCGGGGGCGGAAGCUUGCUUUCGCCCGCCGGCGACCGGCGCACGGGUGAGUAACACGUAUGCAACCUGGCCGCCACAGGGGGAUAACCCGCGGAAACGCGGCCUAAUACCCCGUGACGCCACCGGAGGGCAUCCUCCGGUGGCCAAAGGAGCGAUCCGGUGGCGGAUGGGCACGCGGCGCAUUAGCUAGACGGCGGGGUGACGGCCCACCGUGGCGACGAUGCGUAGGGGUUCUGAGAGGAAGGCCCCCCACACUGGGUCUGAGACACGGCCCAGACUCCUACGGGAGGCAGCAGUGAGGAAUAUUGGUCAAUGGGCGGAAGCCUGAACCAGCCAAGUCGCGUGAGGGAUUAAGGCCCUGCGGGUCGUAAACCUCUUUUGCCGGGGAGCAGUGGUCCGGACGCGUCCGGACCGGGAGAGUACCCGGAGAAAAAGCAUCGGCUAACUCCGUGCCAGCAGCCGCGGUAAUACGGAGGAUGCGAGCGUUAUCCGGAUUUAUUGGGUUUAAAGGGUGCGUAGGCGGGCAUUUAAGCCGGCGGUCAAAUGUCGGGGCUCAACCCCGGGCCUGCCGUCGGAACUGGGUGCCUUGAGUGGGCGAGAAGUAUGCGGAAUGCGUGGUGUAGCGGUGAAAUGCAUAGAUAUCACGCAGAACCCCGAUUGCGAAGGCAGCAUACCGGCGCCCUACUGACGCUGAGGCACGAAAGUGCGGGUAUCGAACAGGAUUAGAUACCCUGGUAGUCCGCACAGUAAACGAUGGAUG
rnacentral:rRNA from 1 species